AUUCAACAGUCAACUUAAUGAGGACGACUCCUUGUUAUGUUUGUAUCAGCAUCUCGGGUCUAAGCGACCUUCAAUUUUAGAUAAAAAGACAAGGCGAUGGAGAAAACAUUUGGCAAUCAUGAUUUCAAAUCCAUCCAAGUCAACCGCUAAAGAUAGCGAAAAUAUUCAUGCACUUGGCGCGAGCUUAGAGUCUCGUGGCCUGAUUGAAGCAGCUCAUCUUUGCUACAUAUUAG